rnacentral:rRNA from 1 species
GAGUUUGAUCGUGGCUCAGAUUGAACGCUGGCGGCAUGCCUUACACAUGCAAGUCGAACGGCAGCACGGGAGCUUGCUCCUGGUGGCGAGUGGCGAACGGGUGAGUAAUAUAUCGAAACGUACCCUAGAGUGGGGGAUAACGCAGCGAAAGUUGCGCUAAUACCGCAUACGAUCUACGGAUGAAAGUGGGGAUCGCAAGACCUCAUGCUCAUGGAGCGGCCGAUAUCUGAUUAGCUAGUUGGUGGGGUAAAGGCCUACCAAGGCAUCGAUCAGUAGCUGGUCUGAGAGGACGACCCAGCCACACUGGAACUGAGACACGGGUCCAGACUCCUACGGGAGGCAGCAGUGGGGAAUUUUGGACAAUGGGGCGAACCCUGAUCCAGCAAUGCCGCGUGAGUGAAGAAGGCCUCGGUUGUAAG